rnacentral:rRNA from 1 species
UGGGGAAUCUUGCGCAAUGGGCGAAAGCCUGACGCAGCCAUGCCGCGUGAAUGAUGAAGGUCUUAGGAUUGUAAAGUUCUUUCGCUCGUGACGAUGAUGACGGUAACGAGAGAAGAAGCCCCGGCUAACUUCGUGCCAGCAGCCGCGGUAAUACGAAGGGGGCUAGCGUUGUUCGGAAUUACUGGGCGUAAAGCGCGCGUAGGCGGUUUUGCAAGCCAGAGGUGAAAUGCCUGAGCUCAACUUAGGAAUUGCCUUUGGGACUGCGAGGCUUUGAGGACGAGAGAGGUGAGUGGAAUUCCCAGUGUAGAGGUGAAAUUCGUAGAUAUUGGGAAGAACACCGGUGGCGAAGGCGGCUCACUGGCUCGUUUCUGACGCUGUAGCGCGAAAGCGUGGGGAUCAAACAGGAUUAGAUACCCCGUAGUCCCUGAGCGGGCUGGCAAGGCGCAU